CGAAAUCUGUUGAGAACGCGCACCGGUUUUCUUCAACGCCAUGCCCAAGAUCUUGCAUGCGAUUGGGCGAAUUUUCGCCUUUCGGUUUG